AGGUGGAAGGGAAGCAGAGAAAAAAGCUGCAAUUGCAGCUUUUUUCUCUACCUCCCUUCCACCUU
rnacentral:pre_miRNA from 1 species